rnacentral:rRNA from 1 species
GACGAACGCUGGCGGCGUGCUUAACACAUGCAAGUCGAACGGAAAGGCCCUGCUUUUGUGGGGUGCUCGAGUGGCGAACGGGUGAGUAACACGUGAGUAACCUGCCCUUGACUUUGGGAUAACUUCAGGAAACUGGGGCUAAUACCGGAUAGGAGCUCCUGCUGCAUGGUGGGGGUUGGAAAGUUUCGGCGGUUGGGGAUGGACUCGCGGCUUAUCAGCUUGUUGGUGGGGUAGUGGCUUACCAAGGCUUUGACGGGUAGCCGGCCUGAGAGGGUGACCGGCCACAUUGGGACUGAGAUACGGCCCAGACUCCUACGGGAGGCAGCAGUGGGGAAUAUUGCACAAUGGGCGGAAGCCAGAUGCAGCAACCCCGCGUGCGGGAUGACGGCCUUCGGGUUGUAAACCGCUUUCGCCUGUGACGAAGCGUGAGUGACGGUAAUGGGUAAAGAAGCACCGGCUAACUACGUG